rnacentral:tRNA from 1 species
GCGGGUGUGGUGAAAUUGGUAGACGCGCCAGACUCAAAAUCUGGUUCCGCAAGGAGUGCCGGUUCGAUUCCGGCCACCCGCACCA